UUGGUGACCAGUUUUGGUGGUCUACUUUUGGCUGUGAGUCUCAUAGGAACACAAACUACAUACGGAUCGCUUUGUUGGAAUGUCUGGAUAUUAGAUAAGAACGAUUCUAGUUAUUACAGUUUAGUUCAGGAUAUUUAUAGACAUGUACACUAUGGCUCAGUCAGCGUUGGCAGGUUUUGGUACAACUCUACUUUUGCAUCAAGCAGGCUGUGAUCCCCAUAGGAACAAGAACUAUGUACCAAUCGCUUUGUUAGAGUGUCUGGAUAUUAGCUAAAAUCAACCAUGCUGUGAUCCCCACAAGAACAGGAAGAGGAGCUGCGGUGCCAUUACGUUACAGUGGAGGCAGCGGGCAGAGUCUGUGUGUGGCAGUAUGUGUAAGGACACACGUCCGUGUGCACGUGUCCACAGCAGGCUUACAGGUCAGUAUGGAAUAUCUGGCUCUCCUAUCAAUCAUGCCCUGAUCUCUUCAGCUGUAUGGGAAUGUGUUGAGCAGCAGGAUUCCUGGAA